rnacentral:lncRNA from 1 species
UACAGCUAAAUCCACUAACCACCAAGAAAGAAGAAUGGAUCUUAGAAGUCUGUGAAGUGCUGGUAGCUGGAGGUGUCUGAGCAGAUGUGCUUCCUUAACGUUUGUGUAAAGGACAUGAAAAUCAACAGCAGGAAUGAUUGCCUUUUGAAGCAAGCACGUUGUGAC